UGGGGAAUUUUGCACAAUGGGGGAAACCCUGAUGCAGCGACGCCGCGUGAUUUAGAAGGCCUUCGGGUUGUAAAAAUCUUUUCUAUGGGAAGAAAAUGACAGUACCAUAGGAAUAAGGACCGGCUAAUUACGUGCCAGCAGCCGCGGUAAUACGUAGGUCCCGAGCGUUGUCCGGAUUUAUUGGGCGUAAAGCGAGCGCAGGCGGUUAGAAAAGUCUGAAGUGAAAGGCAGUGGCUCAACCAUUGUAGGCUUUGGAAACUGUUUAACUUGAGUGCAGAAGGGGAGAGUGGAAUUCCAUGUGUAGCGGUGAAAUGCGUAGAUAUAUGGAGGAACACCGGUGGCGAAAGCGGCUCUCUGGUCUGUAACUGACGCUGAGGCUCGAAAGCGUGGGGAGCGAACAGG
rnacentral:rRNA from 1 species